ensembl:lncRNA
UUCGCAUUCUGAGCACAUCCCUUUAGUUCGCAAACUCCAAACAAUUUCUCAGAUGUACUAUACCCGCAACACUUUCUUUUUAAAACCACCAUUCCACAUUCGUCACGGCUGCUUCACAAUUCAAAAGGGAAAUAGAGAGAGGAUGUGGAGUCCCAAGUGUUAAAGCAAUAUCAACUCUGCAAGAGAAACCAGGAUCACUGGCUGCUACUCCGACACACUUCACCAGCCACCAGCUGCCCCCCCAACGACACCACCAGCUGGACUUUCCCACUGAGCCCUCUUCAACCCCGGAGGCUUUAUUAUCCCUUUUCUAAACCCGUCACUGGCUGUGUUUUAGUGUUAUGUACAAUGCGUUGGCAUUAUUAUUGCUAAUGCAUAAUGCAUAUAUUUGUUUUUGUUGUUAGACCACCGUUGUCACCACUUUAUACAACUUCAUAUUCUGCUUUGUAGUGUAAUCUACAGCGAUGCGUCAUAUUCCAUAAGCGUGUCAUAGGUUUGUAUCAUCACUGUCUUGGGUGAACCAUGUAUUUCGCUGUUCCAGGAUGGUUUCUACUGGAGUGGAAAGGUAUUGAAAAUUGUUAUCUAAAAAGUAAUUGAAGCUGACAGAAGUUUCAUCUCUUUUGCAAGAGAUAAUUACUUUACACUGAUUGCAUUGCCAAUUGUUAGAAAGGUCAUGUGUUAUUCAAACAAAAUAUUAUUAAAUCAUGAUUAUCUUAAAA